GUAAGCCAGUAUCGCUCUUGUUGGUGAAAUGAAUACAAUACCAAUUCCAUUUCCUUCUCCAUUGGAGGAUCCAUCCAUCAAUAUCUCUCAUCUGUUUGGAUUUCGCUCAUUUAAUAAAUCAUUGGGAUUUCCAUGUUCUUCAUCCACCUCCAUCAUUUCUUCUACAUAUUCAUCUUCUUCUAUUGGAAAUUCUGCAAGAAACUCUGCGGUAACUUGAGACUUUGGUGAAGAUAAAAUUUCAUAACCAAUCUCAUAGUUUCCUAAUUGUGCAUUCCACCUCUCUAUUCUUCCUGACCUCUUCGAAUUCUUCAUUGCAUUUUCAAUUGGUGGUGGCAUAUCUCUAAUCGCUUGUACCAUCUCCGGAUCAACUUGUAUUCCCUCCUUGGAUAUAAUAUAUCCUAAAAAUUUUCCUGAUGAUACGCCAUUACACAUUUUUCUGGGUUUACUUUAAUAUUGAAUUUUCACAUUUGUUCAAAUAUUGAUCGCAAAUCAUCAACAUGAUCUUUCGCCUCUUUGCUUUUAGUUAGCAUAUCAUCUACAUAGACUUCUAAUGUUUUAUGUAUCCAUUUUUUUCGAAUACUUUCUGCACCAUUCUUUGAUAAGUUGCACCUGCAUUCUUCAAUCCAAAUGGCAUUUUCGUGUAACAAUAUAAACCUCCUGGUGCGAAGAAAGCAGUGUGUUCUUGAUCUUCUUCUGUCAAAGAAAUUUGAUUCUAGCCUUUAUACCCAUCUAACAUUGUGACUCUAUCAUUCCCUGAUGCCGAUUCCACCAUUUGAGGUAUGUCGGGUAAAGGGAAGCUGUCUUUAGGGCACGCUUUGUUUAGAUCUGUAAAAUCUAUGGAAAUCCUAAUUCCGAUGUUCUUUUUAGGUACCACCACCAUAUUUUCUAUGCACUCUGGAUAUUUUGCCUCCCUUAUAAUUCCUGCAUCUAACAUCUUCUGCAAUGCUGCUUCUAUUUUAGGAUGAUAGUCAGUUGCAAUCUUCCUUGUCCUUUGCUUGAACGGCUUUACAUUCUUCUUAAUGUCUAAUUUAUGACAUGCGACAGACGGAGCUAUUUCUGACAUUUCUUUCAUACUCCAUGCGAAAAUAUCAUUAUAUUCUCGCAGAAUGCUUAUCGUUUUUUCCUCUUCUUCUUUAUCCAUUUUAGUUCCAAUUCUUUAAAUUUUUGGUUCUUCUCCAGUUCCUAUAUUUAUUUCAUUUGCUGGUUCCGCUGCAGUAAAAUUCGCUUUUGGUUCCCUCAUAGGUGUUGGUUUCUUAAUUUCUUUAAUUUGUCCACCUUCCUCCGCUAGUUCUUCGCCUGGUAUUCCUUUUCCCUCUUUCGCUCUUAUCAUGUAUAUUCGAAAUUCCUCUUCUUUCCUUUGUUCUAUUGAUUUUCUCCAUCGAUCCUUUCGCUUCUUUUCUCUCCCUUCAUAAUUUCGCACAUCUAUUUGAUUACAAGUAUUCACAACCUUAACAUCUCCUCUGAUUUUACCUAUACCGCUUGGAAUAGGGAAUACAUUGAUGUAAUGUUGAAGCUACGACCUUUAGUCCAUGUACCCAUGGUCGUCCCAACAACAUGUUGUAUGGUGACUCAAUGUCAAUCACACACAGUGUUAUCUUUGUUUGAACCUCUCCCAGUAAUAUUCGCAUAACGAUUUCUCCUUUUGGCUUUGUAAUUGCUCUAUUGAAUCCAUGAACAUUAUAUGAUGUGGUUGUCAUUUCUGCAUCUUCAUAUCCUAUUUCUUUGAAUGUGCGAUAAAAUAUUACAUCAACUACACUUCCUAUAUCUAUCAAUGUUCUAUCAAUCGCCCAUCCUUCAAAUCCCCUCUGUUUUCCAAUAAUUUUUUCUCGCUCAGCUGUGACCGUAAUUACUAAUGGAUCUGUUCGCUGUAAGUUUUCUUCUGGAAUUUCAUCCGCCGCAAAGGAAAUUUUCACCUUUUCCCAAUCUUGUAAUGAAAUUUUUUGUCUACCGUCUCUAUCUUCUUACCUUCGUAAUUUGUUUUAUGAAUUCUCCCUGUUACUGUUGCUUGAAAAUCUGCCUCAGAAGUUGAUACUAUAAUUAUGUUAUUACACUGUAUAUCUCUGCCUCUUCCUUGAAUUAGUAUGAGUCUUCUCUUCAUGGAUCCCUUAUGAUUCUUCCUUAAUUUCCCUAAGAACUUCAGAUCUAUUAACAAGAAUUAUCAUCCAGAGCUGUUUCUAGCGCCAAAAAUGUAGUUGUCAUAAAUCUUACAAUUACGUUCCACUAUCACUAAAUGAGAAUUUAGGUAACCAUCUUCUUAUUGUAUGAACUGUAGAUAGAAUUACAAAGAUUGAUCCAACUAUUACAAUGAUCUAUUUUCCCUAGAUUUACUUUCUCUUUCUAUUUCUUGACCAAGACUCACUCCAGAACUCCCUCACAAGUAAUGACUUCUCUCCUUUAUAUAAGAUUUUAUAUAGUGGAUGACAACUAAGAAACCCACUAUUUUCAGGAUCACUAUGCGACACAUUCGCUCAUAUACAAUCGCUCAUCUUCGCAUAGAAUAUCUCUUCGCACAGUUCUUCGCACUUUACUCGUGACUUUGUUGACAUCAUCUGGUGCGUCAUCUCAACUUUAUUGUGUGCGAUGCUCUUCGCUUAGAUUGUAUUCUUUACUUCGCGUGAUUACUAACAUGUGCGGUAUUUUACUCCUCCAAUACUUAGAGAAUUUUCUUCAUGUAAAAAGAUAUUAUGCAUGCAGACCAUGAGCACCGAGGCUCCAUUAUGAUAACCAGAAGACAAAGUCUCAAUUUUAUAGUCGUCAAGAGUUUUUUCAAAAACCAGACGUGGCGGAUUAUCCGGAAAUCCUUCCCUGUCUUGAUCCAAAGUCUAUUAUCAAUGUUGAACUCUCCACUAUUUCCAAGCCAAUGUGCUUCCCAGAUAGGUUUCUUAUAAGGAUUUGUAUCUGUAAAUUGAAUUGAGUUGAGCAAUUAGAUCACAUACAAUUAAUUCCGUCCAUGUGUCCAGUAGAAUAUCACCAUUUUCAAAA